GAUGAACGCUGGCGGCGUGCUUAACACAUGCAAGUCGAACGGAAAGGCUCCUGCUUGCAGGGGUACUCGAGUGGCGAACGGGUGAGUAACACGUGGGUGAUCUGCCCUGCACUUCGGGAUAAGCCUGGGAAACUGGGUCUAAUACCGGAUAGGACCACAUUUUGGAUGGUGUGGUGGAAAGUUUUUCGGUGUGGGAUGAGCUCGCGGCCUAUCAGCUUGUUGGUGGGGUAAUGGCCUACCAAGGCGUCGACGGGUAGCCGGCCUGAGAGGGUGUACGGCCACAUUGGGACUGAGAUACGGCCCAGACUCCUACGGGAGGCAGCAGUGGGGAAUAUUGCACAAUGGGCGCAAGCCUGAUGCAGCGACGCCGCGUGGGGGAUGACGGCCUUCGGGUUGUAAACUCCUUUCGCUAGGGACGAAGCGCAAGUGACAGUACCUGGAGAAGAAGCACCGGCUAACUACGUG
rnacentral:rRNA from 1 species